AGAGUUGAUCCUGGCUCAGGAUGAACGCUAGCUACAGGCUUAACACAUGCAAGUCGAGGGGCAGCGGGAGAGUAGCUUGCUACUCUUGCCGGCGACCGGCGAAUGGGUGAGUAACGCGUAUCCAACCUGCCACAUGCCCGGGAAUAGCCCUUGGAAAUGAGGAUUAAGUCCCGAUAUGCUUAUUUGUCGCAUGACAUGUAAGUGAAACAGGCAUGUGAUGGGGAUGCGUCCGAUUAGCUUGCCGGCGGGGUAACGGCCCGACCGGGGCUUCGAUCGGUAGGGGUUCUGAGAGGAAGGUCCCCCACACUGGUACUGAGACACGGACCAGACUCCUACGGGAGGCAGCAGUGAGGAAUAUUGGUCAAUGGGGGAAACCCUGAUGCAGCCGACGCCGCGUGAGUGAAGAAGUAUUUCGGUACGUAAAGCUCUAUCAGCAGGGAAGAUAAUGACGGUACCUGACUAAGAAGCCCCGGCUAACUACGUGCCAGCAGCUGC
rnacentral:rRNA from 1 species